rnacentral:rRNA from 1 species
CAGUCGCGUCGGCCGGGAAUCAGCUUCGCUCUUGCGUGGUGUACUUUCUGGUUGACGGGUCAGCAUCAAUUUUGACUGCUGGAAAAAGGCUUAGGGAAUGUGGCAGCUUCGGCUGUGUUAUAGCCCUUGGUCACAUACAGCGGUUGGGAUUGAGGAACUCAGCACGCCGCAAGGCCGGGUUUCGACCACGUUCGUGCUUAGGAUGGCUGGCAUAAUGGCUUUAAGCGACCCGUCUUGAGACACGGACCAAGGAGUCUAACAUAUGUGCGAGUGUUCUUGAAAGGAACGAUUGAAGUGAACUCUAACAUAUAUG